ensembl:lncRNA
CUCUUUGCCAAGCAGAGCAGGGGCACCCAAAAAUCCAAUUAGACCUGCCGGGUCUAGACCAGACAUCCCCAGUUCACCUCACGCUCCCCCCUCCUUCUUUACUGUAUCAAGUCCUCCAGAAUCCCACACUCUCGCCGUCCCAUCAUGCCUUUAUCUAUCAAACAGUUUGUCAGACUUUUGCAAGGCAAAGAGUUGGAGACUUUAAGGUGUUUCGACUCCAUUUUUAGUUCAUAUGCUGCUACUUCCUCCCCCGUUCUUUGUUCGGAAUAAAGCAGAUUGUAGCCUGAUUAUAUCUGACGUCUCUGACCGGACUGAAGCGAACAAAUGAGUUUGUACAGCAGGUCGCAGUCCGGGUUAGGGUCUUUAGCAGGCUUACGAGUCAUACGUUUCUCUCCCAUAGGUGACAUGUGGGGUAAUCUGGCAAUACACUGAGAGAUGGAGUUUUGUACUGUAUCCGCAUUAAUACUCAGAUUUUGUUUCUUCUUUCCUUUUUUUUUUUUUUUAGCUUGCGAGAGUUGCUUGUAAAUCACCUCUAUUGCAUUUUGAUGAAACUCACUGGUUUCUGAGGAAGAAAAAAAAAGUAUUUAAUAUUUUUAUUAUGUCAGUGAGAAACCUGUGCAUUUAUUUGAACUGCCCCAUAAAGUUUUGUGACUGUAAAUUCUGUAAUUAGUAAUAUAAAUAUUAGGUAGGCUUUGUUUUUGGUUUUUUGCUUUACAGAUCCAUUUCAUUGCAGAGCGCCUGUCUCACGGACCAACGCGUCAACAACAACUACAGACUGACAGAAAGCUCGAGUGAAUGAGAUGUUAUAGCACUACUCUGAAUAUUCUAAUAAAUCUACAUUAUGGAGGCAUUACCUGGCGCGCGUGGUGGUCUGGCUUCUUGUGUGUGGCAUCACCAUAACCGUGUUGUGUUUUAUGUGCAAACAUAUACAGGUUGUCAUACAAAUCCAAUUCCAAAAAAGUUGGGAUGCUGUGUAAAAUGUAAAUAAAAACAGAAUGCAAUGAUCUCCAAAUCUCAAUCUCAGUUAACAACAGAAUAGAAAAAACAAACAUAUGAAAUGUUUAAAUUGUGCCUAUUUUAUAAAAUAUGAGCUCAAUGAGAAUUUGAUGGCAGCGAUGCAUCGCAAAAAAAUUGGGACAGGGGCAACAAAAGGCUAGAAGAGUCAGUGGUCCUAAAGAGAAACAGCUGAAGGAACAUUUUGCAACUAAUUGUGCUAAUUGGCAACAGGUCAGUAAUAAAAGAUGAUCAGGUAUAUAAAAUAAAGCAUCUUAGAGAGGCGAUUCUCCAGUCUACAAAUUGCAAAAUUAUUUUCUAAUAAUCUUCCUGAACAUAAAAUUGUGAAGACUUUACUAUCUCACCAUUCACAGCACAUAAUAUCACCAAAAGAUUCAGAGAAUCUGGAGAAACUUGGGAUAAAAACAGGCCUUAUUCUCUCAUGGAGAUCACAGCAUGGGCUCAGAAACAUCCAUGAAUCAUUAUCUGUGAGCACCGUGCCAUCCACAAAGGUUAAAGCUCUAUCGUGCAAAGAAGACGCUGCAUGUGAAGAUGAUUCAGGGGAACAAUGCACAUUUAAAAUGUCAUCACAAACUGAAACGUGAAAUGCUGCAUCCUCUGGAUGAAAGAGAGGAAGAUAUUUUCCCAUACUUGCAUAUUUUAGCAGGAUGAUGCUAAACCGCAUACUGCUGCAAGACUGCAGGUGCUGUACUGGCCUGCCAGCAGAACUUUCACCAAAUAUUAAAAAUAAAAACCCAAAAAACAACCCAAACAAACAUCUGGAGCAAUGAAACAAAAACUAUGACAGAAGAGUAAGGACUGCUGAUCAGCCAGAAUCUGAUAUCAGACAAGAACGGGACAGCAUUCCCCUCCCAGAAGUCUGUCAAGGUUUACGGACUGUUGUUAAAGGAAGAGGUACAGAAUGUUAAACGCGCUCCUGCCAUAAAAUCAGAGUGAUCUUUUUUGUUCUUAAAAUGAUGAUUUCCCCCCCUCAGUUUACAUAGUUGAUAUGUUGCCUUUAUGACAUUUGUAAACCCAG